rnacentral:rRNA from 1 species
UACGUAGGGACCAAGCGUUGUUCGGAUUUACUGGGCGUAAAGGGCGCGUAGGCGGCAAUUCAAGUCAGCUGUGAAAUCUCCGAGCUUAACUCGGAACGGUCAGCUGAUACUGUUUUGCUAGAGUACAGAAGGGGCAAUCGGAAUUCUUGGUGUAGCGGUGAAAUGUGUAGAUAUCAAGAGGAACACCUGAGGUGAAGACGGGUUGCUGGGCUGAUACUGACGCUGAGGCGCGAAAGCUAGGGUAGCAAACGGG